GAGGUCCAGCCUGCCCAGUGAUUAUUCAACGGCCGCGGUAUUCUAACCGUGCAAAGGUAGCGUAAUCACUUGUUUUCUAAAUAAAGACCAGUAUGAAAGGCAUCACGAAGACUCAACUGUCUCCUUUCUUCAAUCAGUGAAACUAAUCUCCCCGUGAAAAAGCGGGGAUCACACUAUAAGACGAGAAGACCCCGUGGAGCUUAAAACAAUUGUAUGUUUUCGGUUGGGGUGACCGCGUAGAAUAACCUAUCCUCCGCAAUGAAAAAAAAGUUACAACUUAUACAUCAAAAAAUUGACAUUCAUUGACCCAAUAAAUUGAUUAACGAACCAAGUUACCCCGGGGAUAACAGCACAAUCCACUUUAAGAGCCCCUAUCGACAAGUGGGCUUAUGACCUCGAUGUUGGAUCGGGAUAUCCUAGUGGUGCAGCCGCUACUAAAGGU
rnacentral:rRNA from 1 species